ACAGCGAGUGCGGGAGAGCCGACGGGGCCGAGGCCGCCGACGGCACCGAAGGAGCAAGCCUCCCCGCCAAUCUCUCAGGUACGCGUACCGCUCUCGCCAG
rnacentral:ncRNA from 2 species